rnacentral:rRNA from 1 species
UACGUAGGGGGCGAGCGUUGUCCGGAGUUACUGGGCGUAAAGGGUGCGCAGGCGGCCUGGCAAGUGUGCGGUGAAAGCGCCUGGCUUAACUGGGCGAGGGCCGUGCGGACUGCGAGGCUGGAGGCUCGGAGAGGGACGUGGAAUUCCGGGUGGAGCGGUGAAAUGCAUAGAGAUCCGGAAGAACACCGAUGGCGCAGGCAGCGUCCUGGCCGAGACCUGACGCUCAGGCACGAAAGCGUGGGGAG